rnacentral:rRNA from 1 species
UACGGAGGGUGCAAGCGUUGUUCGGAAUCACUGGGCGUAAAGGGCGUGUAGGCGGCCUGUUAAGUCUGAUGUGAAAUCCCCUCGCUCAACGAGGGAACUGCGUCGGAAACUGGCAGGCUCGAGUACCGGAGAGGAAGGUGGAAUUCCCGGUGUAGCGGUGAAAUGCGUAGAUAUCGGGAGGAAUACCGGUGGCGAAAGCGACUCUCUGGACGGUAACUGACGCUGAGGCACGAAAGCGUGGGGAGCAAACAGG